rnacentral:rRNA from 1 species
GAUGAACGCUGGCGGCGUGCUUAACACAUGCAAGUCGAACGAUGAAGCCCAGCUUGCUGGGUGGAUUAGUGGCGAACGGGUGAGUAACACGUGAGUAACCUGCCCUUGACUCUGGGAUAAGCCCGGGAAACUGGGUCUAAUACCGGAUAGGAGCGCCUGUCGCAUGACGGGUGUUGGAAAGAUUUUUCGGUCAUGGAUGGACUCGCGGCCUAUCACCUUGUUGGUGAGGUAAUGGCUCACCAAGGCGACGACGGGUAGCCGGCCUGAGAGGGUGACCGGCCACACUGGGACUGAGACACGGCCCAGACUCCUACGGGAGGCAGCAGUGGGGAAUAUUGCACAAUGGGCGGAAGCCUGAUGCAGCGACGCCGCGUGAGGGAUGACGGCCUUCGGGUUGUAAACCUCUUUCAGUAGGGAAGAAGCGAAAGUGACGGUACCUGCAGAAGAAGCACCGGCUAACUACGUG